rnacentral:rRNA from 1 species
GACGGAGGGGGCUAGCGUUGUUCGGAAUUACUGGGCGUAAAGGGCGCGUAGGCGGCCGAUCAAGUUAGGCGUGAAAUCUCUGGGCUUAACCCAGGAACUGCGUUUAAUACUGAUUUGCUAGAGAUUGGUAGAGGAAAGUGGGAUUCCUAGUGUAGAGGUGAAAUUCGUAGAUAUUAGGAAGAACACCAGAGGCGAAGGCGACUUUCUGGGCCAAUACUGACGCUGAGGCGCGAAAGCGUGGGGAGCAAACAGG